GGAUGGGUAACUGUUUGGAAAGGAAAAAGAGGUCCAUUGGAAAGAAACUUGAUUUAGGAGGUCACCAAUCUUGGGGUGAAGGUAACUGGCCACCCCAGAGGAAUUAUUGCCACUUUUGCUCCUGCUACCUGAGCACAAAAUGGCUGUUGGAAUUAUAGAACUCCUAUUUACAUGUUAAACAGAAUUAUUCACUUACAAGCUUUACUAGAAAUUUUUUAUUAAUCAGACUGCCACAGCCUUUGACCUCCUAGCCACACAACAGACCAGAUGCGAAUGGCUAACUAUCAAAACCACUUGGCAUUAGAUUACCUACUGGUUGAGGAAAAAGAAAUAUGUGAAGAGUUCAACAGCUCAGAUUGUUACAUCCAAAUGGAUGACAAUAGACAAGCAGUUAAAAAUACAGCCAACAACAGAACUAGCACAUGUGUUAGUUCAUACCUAGAAGGGCAUUAAAGUUUGGGUCCCAACAUGCUUUGGGGAGAUGGUUUUCAACUCUUGGUAGAUUUAAAAUCUUAACUGGUAUAGUGGGUAUUCUGCUGUUAACCUGUUUAUUGCUCCCAUGUUUGGCUCCACUGUGCAUUAAAACUAUUGGGUCCACUAAAGAAGCUGCUGUUGAAAGGAGGACAACAAUUAAGGUUUUGGCAUUAUAUAAAGCUUUAAGCCAAGAUAAUGGUAAUGAUGCUCUUAAAUUUAAAGGAUUAAAUUAUGGGGAACAUCAUUAAAGGGGGGAAUUGAAGGGACACCCCCUUUCUCCACAGAAAAGCCCUCUUCACCAUGGCUGACUUUAGGACUGUCAGCAAAAGAGUCCAUUGUAGAUAAACUUCCUAUUUUCAUGUCACCCUGUUUACUUGGCCACUGGCCAAGAAGAUACCAGCACUCCAGGUGCUGGACACCCCCUUAUUAGUUUUUCACAAACGUAUAUAGUAUUGUACUUUGAAGAAAUGUGCAAACAAGGCCUCUGGCCUUGAGCUGGGCUUCACAGAGAUGUCUGUG
rnacentral:lncRNA from 1 species